rnacentral:rRNA from 1 species
AGUGAACGCUGGCGGUAGGCCUAACACAUGCAAGUCGAACGGCAGCACCGUAAGAGCUUGCUCUUACGGGUGGCGCGUGGCGGACGAGUGAGGUAUACAUCGGAAUCUACUUUUUCGUGGGGGAUAACGUAGGGAAACUUACGCUAAUACCGCAUACGACCUACGGGUGAAAGCAGGGGUUCUUCGGACCUUGCGCGAUUGAAUGAGCCGAUGUCGGAUUGGCUAGUUGGCGGGGUAAAGGCCCACCACGGCGACGAUCCGUAGCUGGUCUGAGAGGAUGAUCAGCCAGACUGGAACUGAGACAGGGUCCCGACUCCUACGGGAGGCAGCAGUGGGGAAUAUUGGACGAUGGGGGAAAGGCUGAUCCAGCCAUACCGCGUGGGUGAAGAAGGCCUUCGGGUUGGAAAGCCCUGUUGUUGGGAAAGAAAAGAAGCAGGUUAAUCCCCCGCUGUUCUGACGGUACCCAAAGAAUAAGCACCGGCUAACUUCGUG